GCGGGGAUGCCGGAGCGGUCAAACGGGACAGACUCAAGAUCUGUUGGCACAUGCCUUCAAGGGUUCGAAUCCCUUUCCCCGCA
rnacentral:tRNA from 1 species